rnacentral:tRNA from 1 species
CCCCUGGUGAUCUUGCAGCUAGGAUUCCUGGUUUUCAUCCAGGCUACACAGGUUCAAAUCCUGGACAGGGAA